AAGACCUUGCGCUUUUGGAGCGGCCGAUGUCUGAUUAGCUAGUUGGUGGGGUAAUGGCCUACCAAAGCUUCGAUCAGUAGCUGGUCUGAGAGGACGGCCAGCCACACUGGGACUGAGACACGGCCCAGACUCCUACGGGAGGCAGCAGUGGGGAAUUUUGGACAAUGGGCGCAAGCCUGAUCCAGCCAUGCCGCGUGAGUGAAGAAGGCCUUCGGGUUGUAAAGCUCUUUCAGCCGGGAAGAAAAGGCUGCGACUAAUAAUCGCAGUUCAUGACGGUACCGGAAGAAGAAGCGCCGGCUAACUACGUGCCAGCAGCCGCGGUAAUACGUAGGGUGCGAGCGUUAAUCGGAAUUACUGGGCGUAAAGGGUGCGCAGGCGGUUUUGUAAGUCAGAUGUGAAAUCCCCGGGCUUAACCUGGGAACU
rnacentral:rRNA from 1 species